CUAAUCACUAUUAAUUCAGGAAGAGAACUAGAAUGAAACCAAGUAGGAAGAUAACGGUGGCGAGUAAGGUAAUGAAAUAUGUGGCAGUAUGUCAAAACAAGACCAAUUAAGAAAUAACUGUGGUUAGGGAUGAGGGGACACCUGGUCUAAAAAGUAAACUAGGACAUAAUUAAAUUGGGGAGUAAAACAAUAGUGGAAGGUCGAGAGCGGAUGUAUUGAUGAUAUGUGAUCACAGGCCGUCUGGAUAUGAUAAUGUAGCUAAGAUAGGAGAUUGCUAUAAAAAAUGCUGUGUACAUGCCUCGAUGGGCAGUCAGCUACUAGCCUUCUGAUUGUCUCAGCUUUGAUUUGCAAAUUAAAGUUUAAAACGUCUUGAAGGAUUUUCUGCGUCUCCUUGUUGUUUGUAAGAAACGAGAAACCACGACAAAGAUACCAGAAUAAAAGACCCUGACAUGGAUUUACACGCAGGAAUAGGACCCGCUCUCGGGGUCUCAUGACUGGCCGCUAUUCAACAUACCAAGGAUACAGCCUAGAAGACUGGCACACCUUCAGAGUUCCGGGAUUUCGUGGCUCUGGAGGCAGGCAGACUCAAGAGUCAGAGUUUACACCUGGAAAACAAGGAAGUGCCAAGCUAAAGAUGUGUAGAUCCAUGGAGAGAGUUUGCAAAAAGGUUCUACAGCGAUCUCCCGAAACAGCCAAUGGAAGUCGCUUUGAUCGACUUCCAGAUAUUAUAUAGAUAUAUCAAGGUUUGUUACUCAUUGCAAGUAAAGGUUACAUUCUUAUAAAUGAACUUCAAUGUGCAUCAUAGGGGA